GGCAAGGUAGCUCAGUCGGUUAGAGCACAGGCUUCAUAAGCCUGGGGUCGCGGGUUCGAGUCCCGCCCUUGCUA
rnacentral:tRNA from 1 species